rnacentral:rRNA from 1 species
CCGAUCGCGAUGGGUGACAUAUGUACUCGCGUAUAUGUCGAUUUCACGCGUCCGCUGUGGUAUGUUCAGCUACGUCGGCGUGCACUUCUCCUUUAGUAGAACGUCGCGACCCGCUGGGUGUCGGUUUAAGGACCAAGAUUGUUGACUGUUCCGUCGUCUUUAUGGCGUUCGGUUGCAGACGCUUGGAUCCCGACCGGCUGCUCGGCGGUACGUCACAAGGUAUCGAGCCGCACUCGAAUGCGUUCAGACUCGUCGCAAGCCCGACCAUACUAUUUUUCCGGAUGUACGGACCAAGUGCCGUCACUGGGGUUGGUUGGCUGUUGGCUGACGAUGUUCUCGAACCGGCUUAACAAUAACGAUUUACCUGUCGGCGACGCUAUUGCUUUGGGUACUUUCAGGACCCGUCUUGAAACACGGACCAAGGAGUCUAACAUGUGCGCGAGUCAUUGGGAUAUUGAAACCUAAAGGCGCAUUGAAAGAGAAGAUCGACCUUGCGUCGAUUGAGGGAGGAUGGGCAACUUCAGGGUUGCUUCGCACUCCCGGGGCGUCUCGUAGUCAUUGCGACUUGAGGCGCACCCAGAGCGUACACGUUGGGACCCGAAAGAUGGUGAACUAUGCCUGGUCAGUAUGAAGUCAGGGGAUACCAUAAUAGAGGGUUCCUUCCGAUAGUAGCUGGUUCCUUCCGAUAGUAGCUGGUCCUCC